rnacentral:rRNA from 1 species
UGGGGAAUUUUGGGCAAUGGCCGAAAGGCUGACCCAGCGACGCCGCGUGCGGGAGGAAGCCCUUCGGGUGUAAACCGCUGUCAGAGGGGACGAAAGCGCCUGGAGUUAACAGCUUCGGGCAGUGACGGUACCCUCAAAGGAAGCACCGGCUAACUCUGUGCCAGCAGCCGCGGUAAGACAGAGGGUGCGAGCGUUGUUCGGAAUUACUGGGCGUAAAGCGCGCGCAGGCGGAUCCUGCAAGUCGGAAGUGAAAUGUCACUGCUCAACGGUGACGCUGCUUCCGAGACUGCGGAUCUGGGGACCGGUAGAGGCUGGUGGAAUUGCAGGUGUAGCGGUGGAAUGCGUAGAGAUCUGCAAGAACACCCGUGGCGAAGGCGGCCAGCUGGGCCGGAUCCGACGCUGAGGCGCGAAAGCGUGGGGGAGCAACAGGAUUAGAUACCCUGGUAGUCCACGCCGUAAACCGAUGGGCACUAGGUGCUGGGGGGAGCGA